UACGUAGGAGGCAAGCGUUGUCCGGAGUUACUGGGCGUAAAGCGCACGCAGGCGGUCGCAUCAGUCUGGGGUGACAGUUCCCGGCCUAACCGGGAAAGUGCUCUGGAAACUGUGCGACUUGAGGGCUUCGAGAGGAUGUGGAAUUCCAGGUGGAGUGGUGGAAUGACGUAGAGAUCUGGAAGAACACCAAAGGCGAAAGGCAGCAUCCUGGGAAGUUCCUGACGCUCGGGUGGCGAAAGCCAGGGGA
rnacentral:rRNA from 1 species